CCCCUAGUAACGGCGAGUGAAGAGGGAAAAGCUCAAAUUUUGAAUCUGGUGUCUUUGACUCCCGAGUUGUAAUCUAGAGAAGUGUUUUCCGUGUCGGACCGUGCACAAGUUCCCUGGAACGGGGCGUCAUAGAGGGUGAGAAUCCCGUAUAUGGCAUGGACUACCGAUGCUUUUGUGAUACACUCUCAACGAGUCGAGUUGUUUGGGAAUGCAGCUCAAAAUGGGUGGUAAAUUCCAUCUAAAGCUAAAUAUUGGCGAGAGACCGAUAGCGAACAAGUACCGUGAGGGAAAGAUGAAAAGCACUUUGGAAAGAGAGUGAAACAGUACGUGAAAUUGUUGAAAGGGAAGCGUUUGAAGUCAGUCGUAUCUGGCGGGAUUCAGCCGGGCUUUUGCCAGGUGUACUUCUCGUCCGAUGGGUCAGCAUCAAUUUCGACCGGGGGAAAAAGACGUGUGGAAUGUGGCUGUCUUCGGGCAGUGUUAUAGCCAUGCGUUGUAUGCCUCGGUUGGGAUUGAGGAACGCAGCGCGCCUAUAGGCCAGGGGUUCGCCUCUUGACACGCGCUUAGGAUGCUGGCAUAAUGGCUUUAAGCGACCCGUCUUGAAACACGGACCAAGGAGUCUAACAUGUGCGCGAGUGUUUGGGUGUCAAACCCAGGCGCGAAAUGAAAGUGAAAGGUUGGGAUCAUUUGUUUGUGCACCGACGCCCGGAGCAGACCUUCUGUGACGCAUCCGCGGUAGAGCGUAUAUGUUGGGACCCGAAAGAUGGUGAACUAUGCCUGAAUAGGGUGAAGCCAGAGGAAACUCUGGUGGAGGCUCGUAGCGAUUCUGACGUGCAAAUCGAUCGUCAAAUUUGGGUAUAGGGGCGAAAGACUAAUCGAACCAUCUAGUAGCUGG
rnacentral:rRNA from 1 species